ACGGGGGCCAAAAACUCCGCCACGGCGGGAUGGAGAGCAAUACUGGAAAAGAUUGGGCUGGAGGGGAAGGUCCAGCCCUACCAGGCCAAAAAAAAAAUGGGACAAUUUAAAAAAAAAAAUAAUAAUAAA